GCCACGGUGGUCUAACGGUUAGAACGCUGGCCUUGUAAUCCUGGAGUCUCUGGGUUCGAUUCCCGGCGGUGCCC
rnacentral:tRNA from 1 species